UACAGAGGUCUCAAGCGUUGUUCGGAUUCAUUGGGCGUAAAGGGUGCGUAGGCGGCACGGUAAGUCAGAGGUGAAAUCCCGGAGCUCAACUUCGGAAUUGCCUCCGAUACUGCCGUGCUUGAGGACUGGAGAGGAGAUUGGAAUUCACAGUGGAGCAGUGAAAUGCGUAGAUAUUGUGAGGAACACUAGUGGCGAAGGCGAAUCUCUGGACGGUUCCUGACGCUGAGGCACGAAGGCCAGGGGAGCAAACGGG
rnacentral:rRNA from 1 species